AUUGAACGCUGGCGGCAGGCCUAACACAUGCAAGUCGAACGCGUGGCGGACGGGUGAGUAAUGUGUGGGAAUCUAGCUUCUGGAGGGGGAUAACAACGGUAAAAUGUAGUUAAUAUCGCGUACGCGAGGAGGAACCCAAGGGUGAUUAGGUAGUUGUGGAGGUAAAGGCUCACCAAGCCGACGAUCUCUAGCUGGUCUGAGAGGAUGACCAGCCACACUGGGACUGAGACACGGCCCAGACUCCUACGGGAGGCAGCAGUGGGGAAUAUUGCGCAAUGGGGGCAACCUGACGCAGCCAUGCCGCGUGAGUGAAGAAGGCCUUCGGGUUGUAAAGCUCUUUCGGUGGCGAGGCGUUAACUGCAGAAGAAGCACCGGCUAACUCCGUGCCAGCAGCCGCGGUAAUUC
rnacentral:rRNA from 1 species